ACACCUGAAACACAAACACAUUCAGGUGUUCACACACACACACACACAUUCAGGUGUUCACACACACACACACACAUUCAGGUGUUCACACACACACACACACAUUCAGGUGUUCACACACACACACACACACACACACAUUCAGGUGUUCAAACACACACAUUCAGGUGUUCACACACACACAUUCAGGUGUUCACACACACACACAUUCAGGUGUUCACACACACACACACAUUCAGGUGUUCACACACACACACAUUCAGGUGUUCACACACACACACACAUUCAGGUGUUCACACACACACACACAUUCAGGUGUUCACACACACACACAUUCAGGUGUUCACAUACACACACAUUCAGGUGUUCACACACACACAUUCAGGUGUUCACACACAGCUGCUGUCACUCUACACCAAACUUCUGUUUCUAUUCCGACGUUUUAACGAUUGCUUUGCUGUUAAACUCACAGACGCCAGCCAAUGAGAGCAGUGUCUCGCCAGCACCAGACAGGAAGCAGAGAACCAGGUCUAGCUAACGAGCCAUGCUGAGCCGAGCCAUGCUGAGCCAUGCCGAGCCAUGCCGAGCCAUGCCGAGCCGAGCCAUGCUGAGCCAUGCCGAGCCGUGCUAACCGGUGUCCCUGCCCAGCAGCUACAGUCAGCCCGGUUAGCUCGUUAGCUCUGUAGCUACAGCGGCUACCAGGCGGAGCAGAGAGCGGUCCGUGCCGCUCCACCGGGCCGACACACAGCGGCUCCGUCCCCGGCACACAGCGGCUCCGUCCCCGGCACACAGCGGCUCCGGGCCCGGCCUCUCACCUGUGAUGUAGUCGAAGACCUCCGAGUCGAUCUCCGGGAACUCGCUCUUCAGGAUGUCCACGUACGUCGCCAUGAUACCCGGCCCUGGACUCCGCCGCGACGCGCAUGCGCCAAUAUGCGACAGCGCCGUGCAUUCUGGGAGAUGACGUAUUUGUGUCGAUCGGGUUGACGUCAGACGAUAAAAACGAACUACAAAUGAUCCGGAGAGUUAUUAUAACGAUUAUGUGUGAUUAUUGAUCUGAAUUUUAUGGUUUUUAAUAUUUGUUUUUAUUUCUGGAACAUUUGAUCAUUUUAUUAAACUGACUUUAAAAGAUGACUUUAUAUAUUUAUAUCAUCUUUUUAUUAAAUGAUUAAUUCAUAAAGCAACUGUA